rnacentral:rRNA from 1 species
CAGUCGACGGUGAAGCAGAGCUUGCUCUGUGGAUCAGUGGCGAACGGGUGAGUAACACGUGAGCAACCUGCCCUGGACUCUGGGAUAAGCGCUGGAAACGGCGUCUAAUACUGGAUAUGAGAUGCGAUCGCAUGGUCGUGUUUGGAAAGAUUUUUCGGUCUGGGAUGGGCUCGCGGCCUAUCAGCUUGUUGGUGAGGUAAUGGCUCACCAAGGCGUCGACGGGUAGCCGGCCUGAGAGGGUGACCGGCCACACUGGGACUGAGACACGGCCCAGACUCCUACGGGAGGCAGCAGUGGGGAAUAUUGCACAAUGGGCGAAAGCCUGAUGCAGCAACGCCGCGUGAGGGAUGACGGCCUUCGGGUUGUAAACCUCUUUUGGUAGGGAAGAAGCCUUCGGGUGACGGUACCUGCAGAAAAAGCGCCGGCUAACUACGUGCCAGCAGCCGCGGUAAUACGUAGGGCGCAAGCGUUAUCCGGAAUUAUUGGGCGUAAAGAGCUCGUAGGCGGCUGUCGCGUCUGCUGUGAAAUCCCGAGGCUCAACCUCGGGCUUGCAGUGGGUACGGGCAGACUAGAGUGCGGUAGGGGAGAUUGGAAUUCCUGGUGUAGCGGUGGAAUGCGCAGAUAUCAGGAGGAACACCGAUGGCGAAGGCAGAUCUCUGGGCCGUUACUGACGCUGAGGAGCGAAAGGGUGGGGAGCAAACAGGCUUAGAUACCCUGGUA